rnacentral:rRNA from 1 species
UACGUAGGUGGCAAGCGUUGUCCGGAUUUACUGGGCGUAAAGGGUGCGUAGGUGGAUAUUUAAGUCAGAUGUGAAAUCCCCGGGCUUAACCUGGGAAGUGCAUUUGAAACUGGAUAUCUUGAGUGCAGGAGAGGUAAGUGGAAUUCCUAGUGUAGCGGUGAAAUGCGUAGAUAUUAGGAAGAACACCAGUGGCGAAGGCGACUUACUGGACUGUAACUGACACUGAGGCACGAAAGCGUGGGUAGCAAACAGG